rnacentral:misc_RNA from 1 species
UACACCUUCAACCGGUUCUUCCUUUCCCAAUCACCUCCCUCUUCAAACAAGUUCUUUGCUUUGUCAAUGCUCUUGGAAAUGAGAUCAAAAUCCAUGUAGAAAAAGCCAAGCUGUAAAGUAUAGAAUACCAAGUCCAUUUUUUGCCCAACUGCAACUGUUUUGCUUUCUGUCACCUUUAGUUGCUCCAAAGCUUUCUCCUUGUCACCAGUUCGAAUGUAGAACAAAGAUUUGGCCAAAUGAGCUUCUCGAACUUCACUUUCACCCAAGUUUUCUUCAGCAUCAGCAAUCUUCUCAUCGAGCCUCUUGAGCUCCUCCUCAUUCUUCGCACGCAUCGAAUCCAAUACGUUCUGAUCCUUCUCCAGUAACCCUUCGCCCACUAGGGUUUCGUACAAGGGAACCAUAUCGUCAGCUUUGACGGCCGUAAAGACCUCCUCCUUGAGGUGGACCUUCUCAAUGUCUGGGACAUCGGGGUGGGUUAGAAGGAAGCGCUUGUGAGCGAGUAUGAGGUGCGGUUGCUGAAUUCCUUCUUGCCCUUCCAUUAAGGGUGACUCAGUGAGUUUAGAUUCUCGAGUUUCCUUUUCUGGGGGUUUUGCUUGAGCAAGGAGGCAAGGAGAAACCGAAUGAUGCUAAAUGCGU